UGGGGAAUAUUGGACAAUGGGCGAAAGCCUGAUCCAGCCAUGCCGCGUGUGUGAAGAAGGUCUUCGGAUUGUAAAGCACUUUAAGUUGGGAGGAAGGGCAUUAACCUAAUACGUUAGUGUUUUGACGUUACCGACAGAAUAAGCACCGGCUAACUCUGUGCCAGCAGCCGCGGAAAUACAGAGGGUGCAAGCGUUAAUCGGAAUUACUGGGCGUAAAGCGCGCGUAGGGGGUUUGUUAAGUGGGAUGUGAAAUCCCCGGGCUCAACCUGGGAACUGAAUUCAAAACUGACUGACUAGAGUAUGGUAUAGGGUGGUGGAAUUUCCUGUGUAGCGGUGAAAUGCGUAGAUAUAGGAAGGAACACCAGUGGCGAAGGCGACCACCUGGACUAAUACUGACACUGAGGUGCGAAAGCGUGGGGAGCAAACA
rnacentral:rRNA from 1 species